rnacentral:rRNA from 1 species
GGGUCUAGUGGCGCACGGGUGCGUAACGCGUGGGAAUCUGCCCCUCGGUUCGGAAUAACAGUUAGAAAUGACUGCUAAUACCGGAUGAUGACGAAAGUCCAAAGAUUUAUCGCCGAGGGAUGAGCCCGCGUAGGAUUAGCUAGUUGGUGGGGUAAUGGCCCACCAAGGCGACGAUCCUUAGCUGGUCUGAGAGGAUGAUCAGCCACACUGGGACUGAGACACGGCCCAGACUCC